GAAAUUGUAUUUUACAGUAUACACCACUAAAACACAACAGGAACUGAAAGUUGGACUGCAGUUUUCAUAGGAGGUGUUACAGAUCUGAUCCUCUCUGUCUUUACACACCAAGGCAAAAAACAAACAGACUUUUUAAUGAUUUACAGGAGUUAACUGUGUUUUUAAGAUCAUUUGCUGUAGCUUGUUUUCCUUUCAUCAUCCUCAAAUGCUAAGCAGUGGUUCUUGUGCCACUGUCUGGUCUUACGGUGUGUGUGUGUGUGUGUGUGUGCAGGUUUACUGACUCUUUACACUAACUCUGGAGCUGCUUUAAAACGUGACGUUAAAUCGCACUGCUCCAGUACGCCACACGCCAUCUUUUUAUUUUUAUUUCAAACCAAUAAUAUGCAUCGGUCUCUUUGGUUUCUGUAGCUUGUAAUAUAUGAAUAUAACGAACAAGAUUCUGAUCUUUUUUUUAAAUUAACUCGAUUAAAUUGUAUUUUAAUCGGAACCAAAAGUGACUGCGAACUAUUAGAAUAUAAUAUUUUCUCUAACAUUUCUUUUAUAUAAAAUUAAACAUUUGAAAUAAUCAACAAGACGUCUUUUAAAUGAUAUUUACAGGAGUUGGAGAAUUUAUUAUUAUUAAUAUUAUUAUUUUUAUCACUGCCUUAUUUUCUGUUGGUGUCCCAUGUUGUCUGUGUGUUUUUUGAAUAUUGAUUAUUGAUCAUUCCGGCAGCUUUGAGAAUCUCCUCUGUGUUUCUAGCCUGCUGUGUCAUGGCUGACUAACAAAAACCAUAUCAUGCAUUUAUAUACAGGGCAUUGUUAAUGGAAUUGGUUUGAUUUUUGACUGACUUAUAAUGAUGCAACUUUACAUCGGUGUAAAAAAUCAGAAAAAAUGCUGUUACUGGGACAUUUUCUGUCAGUGUGGGUCAGCAGGUUUCUUACUGAAUAUUCACUAGAUUACAAGCAUUUAAUUCCAUUUAAAGUUUUAUUUUAAAGGACCACAGAAGAGUUUUUCAUCCAUCAUUACUUCUUUUAAAAUUACCAAAAUAAAAGCACACAGGAUGGUCACUAUGGAUCCUAAUUAAAGGCUUUUGCACUCCAUGUUAUAAUUCUAUCAAUUGGGGAAGUGAUCCAUUAAAAUAAUAUUAUCACAUUUGCAUUUAAAUGAUGCAUUAUAAAGGUAAAAUUGUAAAACAAAAUACAAGGUUAUAAAAUUUGCAGAUUAAUAAUGUCCUUAUUCUGUCUUUAAACGCAGUAAAUGUUGGGUUUAAAAUGUAGUUGCAGCAUCAGUUUUAAAUAGCUUUUACGCAUUUAAGCUAUUUAUUUAAUUGUCUGCCUGUCGUAUUCACUCUCACGUGUCAUUGACAGUUUUUUUUGCCGCUUGAAAUGAGACUCGGUGAGCAAGAUCCUGACCAAUCAGAACUCAGUUUAUAUUUCAUCACUAUGGACAUUUGAGUAGUGUGCCACCAAAAAAUUAAAUAACUUUUACAGCAGGAAACAAAUGUGUUAUGGAAUAUGGUAAGCAGACACAAAGGGGAACAGAAAAGUGACAUUAUAAAGAUAUUUUCAAUGUAUUUUAUCAUAAAAAAUGUUGUCUAAAAGGUUAAAACAGUUACAUUUACUCAUCCUUUUCUGAUAAACUGAUAAACUUUUGUUUUUAUAAAUACACAAUCAUGGAAAAAAUUUUUAGACCACCCUUUUUCUUCAAUUUCUUGUUCAUUUUAUUGCCUGGUACAACUAAAGGUACAUUUGUUUGGACAAAUAAAAAUUAUUUAAAAAAAAAAACUCAUAAGAGUUUAAUUUAAAAGCUGAUAUCUAGACAUUUUUUCAUGGUUUUCUUGAUGAUGAUUUUGGUUAUUAUCAAUAAAACCAUGGAAAAUGUCUAGAUAUCAGCUUUUAAAUUAAACUCUUAUCAGCUAUUUUUGUUGUUAUCUUUAUAUUUGUCCAAACAAAUGUACCUUAAUUGUACCAGGCCUUAAAAUUAAGAAUAAAUUGAAGAAAAAGGUCGGUCUAAUAAUUUUUCCAUGGCUGCUCUGAAUCUGAUGCGUUCUAUUUUGGUUGAACUGUAGCUCCUUUUUAAAAUCCAGUAAAUCAUUAAUCAAUUGAAGACAGACCCAGGAAAUAGAAUCCAUCAUUUAAAUGCAUUUUGUACUUCAAAUAAAGGAAUUUUUUAAUGUAUUAUAACCAAACACUGCAAAGGUCUAUCAUUAUUCCACAUGCUGACAGUGAUGGAUAGACGGUAGAUGAUGUGCAAUCUGUAGUAAACGGCUUCAAACAUGCAGAAAUACUAAUAUGGUGAAGUGAAGGGAAACACUGCCCCCCCUCGCCUGCCUCAAAAUGUCCCAGCAUGCACCUUUACUCAUACUGGAAACUCACAUUACACCAUUACAUAAACUGUGGCUAUUUUUCUGACUUUUCAACACCGAUAAUCAGGAUGCAAAUCAGUCAGUGAUCAGAUGAGACAGUCAAAGUGAACUGAUGCGAGGUCUGACUGCAUGCUGCUCUCUGUGCUCUACUCAUUUGUUUACAUUUCAACUGCUCUUCUCGAAACCAGGAAGGGUUCCUAAGAAGCCAGAUUAGAUGUGUAUACUUUAACUCCAGGUUGUUGGGUUCUUUGUUUUUUUUAUUUGUCUAUCAUGCACUGCAGACUAAUGGAAUAAUCAAUUUAUAACACCCUUUUUUUUCUUUUACAAAUGUCUUUCUCCUGUGAACAAAAUGCCAGUUUCUCUCCAUUAAAGCCAUGAAGGUGGUUUGACAUGUUUUCGACCAUAAGCUACAAAUCAUGUGUAUUGUACAUUACUGCCUGCCAUUUUCAAAGCAUCCUGUAAAAAAAAUGAGUAAAAAUCUCAUAACCAGUAAUUUAACAUCAGCUCUUCUAUUGGCAUGGUUCCUAUAAUUAGAUACAUUUGUCAGCACCACAUCACUAUAGACCAGAGACUGUAUGUAGAGUGUCAAAACUUAAAUGAACCCUCAAAUGCUCAGAAACAAAUGCUUCCUGCAUGGGGCCAUGUAUAAAUGGAAUUGAAUUGAUUUUUUAAAUUAUUUUUUUACAUUUAUUAACAGAGAGGACACUAUCGAUGCCACAGUAUACCACCAAAAGCAGAAACACUAACAAAAUGCCUGUAACUAGCUAAAAACAUUAUAUAUAAGCAUUUCAAAUGAUUACUUUAGCACUCAAGUUAGCUGUGCAGGCUAGUUUAAGAUAUAAAUUAGUGAUUAAGAUUAUAUGUUAGUUUUAGCCCUAAUACUGCAUAGCUUUCUGAUUCACCCACAUGUCACCACAACACAAGUUGUGUAAUAUAGAACAGAUGAGGAUUAGGGCCAGUCAGGAGAAAACCAUAAUUUAUUUUCACUAAGCAGUAAAAAAAAAAAGUCAAAAUGUCAAGAAAAAAGUCAAAAUACGAUUUCAGGAAAGAGCAAAAAAGCCAUUGUUGGUGGAAUGGAGCCGCAAACCUUAUUUCUAGUUUUACAAUGAAGAUAAAACGACAUACUAAGUCUAAAUUACCCUACCAACAUUACUAUUAGGUCAUAAUGAGCAAGUAUUAAUAUGGUUUUGUCAGAAUGCAAUGAGGAUCCAAGUGCAAAUUUGUAAUUGAAAGCUAGCCCAGCUAGGCAAAACUCAAAACUUGACUUGAAGUUGGCAGAAUUUAGAGUUUGAGGCACCGGGCUGUGAGCUUUUGCAAGCAAUGAUGCACAUUUUAGUUGAUUAAUAAUGCUGUAUAUAAACUACACAUUUUUACAGUUGAGGAAUACAAUUGCGCCUACAACAAUGAUAAAUGACAAUUAAAAUGUAAAGAAAUUACUAUUUCAUUAUGUAUGAUUUUUUUUUAUUACAGUGACAGAGCCACUCUAUCUGAACAGUUAGCUAGACUGCAAGCUACAAACUGAUUCUCAUCAAUGUCAUACAAUAACCAAUAACCCAAUAAUUUAGGGCUGUAGUACUAAAAUCCCCCUACAACUGCUACAACUAUUGCUUUGAGAAAAUCUGCUUUUAUGUCAUUUAUGUGAAUUCUUUUGACAUAUUAGACGUAUUGGGGGAAAUGAGAUUGUAGCUUGUAGUCUACUUUACACAAGUUGACUUUAUUCUCGUUAUUUCAACUUUUUUUCAACAUUGUAUUCUGACUUUAUUCUCGUCAUUUCGACUUUUUUUCAAAGUGCAUAUUACUUUUUUUUCCCUCCUCUCAUUAUUUUUCCCUCCUACCUGGCCCUAAUCCUCUUCCGUAAGAACCUAAAGAAAUGUAGCCUAAAAUAGACUUUGCCCUCCGGUGGAGGCGAGGCGCAACUACAUUUCGUCUAUACAAGUUUCUUAGGUUGCAAACAGGCUAAAGAGGCUAUAAAAUGGGUUCAUUCAUGUAACCUGAGAUGAUGAGCUGACUUAAUGUUCAGCUAAUUCCUUUAGAUCAUCACAUUAAUUGAUACUUGUUCAGGAAGGUUGCUAGCUUUCAUGCACAUACCUGCAUCGUAUGUGCUUUAAAUAAGACUUGAAACAACCCUUAGACAUUAAAGGGACAAUUCACCCCAAAAUAAAAAUAAAUGGUCUUCCUCUUACACGUAGUGCUAUGUAGUAAUUAUUUUGGUGUGAGUUGCUGAGUGUUGGAGAUAUCGGCCGUAGAGAUGUCUGCCUUCUCUCAAAUAAAAUGGAAAUUUUAGCAAGAGUGGCAAAAAACACAACAACGAUGUCUCUCUCCACAAACCAUGACUGGAAAUAAUCCACAGACCUUGUUGUGAGCAGUUUAAAGUAAUAAAUACCAGAAACGAAGCAGGCAACUGCCUGGAAAGUUGGACAUUGAUUUAAAAUGUGAUGGGAUGCUUUGAAAAAUGGACAGCAGUGCUAAAAAAAAUCCAAGUUAAUGUGGUAAAACAUGUAAAACCAUGAGUCUGUUUCCUUAAUGGGGACUUAUGUGAGACAUUCAUCAACCAUUUGACUUUGUUUGUGUUGGAGCUUUCAGAUGUCAGUUGGGUUUGCAAUGCUGUCUUUAUGUCAUAUGAAGAACCAUCUCAACGUUUGAAUAAGCUCACACCAUGAAUCAUAUCUGUCACUACAUGUAUCAGAGCUGUUUACUAUCCUAAGCUGCAUUCACCAGUUCUGUUUGUCAUAAAUGCAAAAUGAAGGAUAGAAAUAGUAUUUUAUGAUAUACAAAAAUGAUCUCUGGUUCUGAUUGGCUGUGAUAUUCUCCAACACUUUUCCUUCCAAAUUUUGAUCCACUUAAGUGUCUUCAUGUGAUGCCUGAUGGAAGCUUUCAGGUGUUAGUGUGCAGUCAGUACGGCUGACUGUGAAAAAACAUUCAUGGGGUGUACAUUCAUGGCAGUUUGAACGCUUUUGCCAUGUGUUGUUGGGCUGCUAUCAAUAAAACAAAGUAAACCUGCUAAAGGGUUCAAGUGUGCCAGGUGAGGAAGUGACCUGGUCUGGCCCCCAGAUGGAAAGCGAGAUCUUAAACUCCUCAUUGUGGAUUUUGAAGAGUUUUUGAAUUUUGAUAUACUGGAUUUAACAUGUCUUACAAAUGAGCCCGAAGCAGAACAGGAAAUAUUAUCAGUGUACAUAAGGAGAGGAACUCAAGUUAAAGUCCCUGUAUAACUACAAACCUGAUACUCAUUAUUUUUUCAACAAUAAAAAUAUUAAUCAAAA